UUGAACGCUGGCGGAAUGCUUUACACAUGCAAGUCGAGCGGCAGCGCGGGGGCAACCCUGGCGGCGAGCGGCGAACGGGUGAGUAACAUAUCGGAACGUACCCAGUUGUGGGGGAUAGCCCGGCGAAAGCCGGAUUAAUACCGCAUACGACCUGAGGGUGAAAGGGGGGGAUCGCAAGACCUCUCGCAGUUGGAGCGGCCGAUGGCGGAUUAGCUAGUUGGUGGGGUAAAGGCCUACCAAGGCGACGAUCCGUAGCUGGUCUGAGAGGACGACCAGCCACACUGGAACUGAGACACGGUCCAGACUCCUACGGGAGGCAGCAGUGGGGAAUUUUGGACAAUGGGGGCAACCCUGAUCCAGCCAUGCCGCGUGAGUGAAGAAGGCCUUCGGGUUGUAAAGCUCUUUCAGACGGAAAGAAAACGCAUCGGUGAAUACCCGGUGUGGAUGACGGUACCGUAAGAAGAAGCACCGGCUAACUACGU
rnacentral:rRNA from 1 species